GGUUCGGUUUGGUUUUUAACCAAACUAUGAACACCCCUACCAGUUAUGAACAUUAUGGCAGAUUCAACCUAAUUUCUGCAUUAUUACGGUAUUAUUACUCAAUUAUUGUAGCAGGUACUAGUCAUGAGUUAGCCUGUGGUCCUUUGAGAUUAUGAGCACCGUGUGACGUCUGGGGUACAGACUCGGGGCAUUACACAUUUCCCAACAGCCCUUUCUAGAAAUCCGUAAUUUCCUUCUUAUUAUCAUCAGGACUUGUAAGCUUGGUUCCAUUUAUAGCCGUUAAACUCAUAAUCUGCUUUCUAUUUGUUCUUUCUUUUAUGACUACGGAGAAAUAUCUGUUAUUAUCAUCUCCUAACUGAAUCCACUGAGCUGUGGCCUUUUGUUUUAGAAUACUUUCUUCUAUGUUGCUCCAUUUCUCAAGCACAAGUAGGCAUUCUUUCUCCUUGCCUCCUAAGUCAUCAGUCCAUUUAUGGGCUAUUAACUCUUGGAUUUGCUUUAACUUCUGACUGAAUAGAUUGAUUUUUUCAGCUGUAUUCAUGAACUCCUCCUUAUUUAGCUUCUUAAGAGCCGGUUGUAAUGCCCUGAGACUAAUCCAGACCGUUGCCAUCUUUCCGUUGUUAUGUUGUUGUCUAUAUUUCUUCUCUAUAAUAGACAAGAAUUUAGGAUGUUCAGCCCAGACAUUAAAGAACUUAAAUGUGGAUUUAGGUUUCUGUAUAUUUUUCUCCAUAGUGAUGAGUAUAGGGGCGUGGUCAGAGAUUAGGCAAUUCAUAUUGUACCUCUACAUGUCCCCAUUGCAUCAUCCAGUCCAAAUUACCAAACAAUCUGUCAAUUCUGCUACAAAUUCUAUCAGUACCAAGUUAUUUGUUGUAUCGGGUGUAGUAAUCCCCUUUCCAAGGCAAUUCAAUGAGGUGCAAGUGAUGCAAAUAAUCAGAGAGGUCUUGAAUCUCAGCCAUAGUAAUAGGUGCUCCCCUUACUCUAUCUUGGGGAUAUAAUACUGCAUUAAGAUCACCUCCCAGUAUCCAUGGUUGAUUGAUAUUUUGUCCUAUACUCUGAAUUCCCUGCCAGAGCUCUUUUCUUUUCUCAACAGAGUUAAAUCCAUAAAUCACAGUGAGUAAGCACCUAACAUCUCCAGUUAUAUUAGUUACCUGACAGUGAAGGAAUUAUGUUGUAGAGCACAAUUGGACUAUGUUAUAAUAGUCGCUAUCCUAUGAAAACCAAAUUCGACCAUUUACAGAUUUGUUAUAGUUACUUCUCAAUUCCCAACCAGGGCUGAUAUGAGCAAUUCGUGCAGCUUGCUCUUCUUUUACUCUAAUUUCCACAAGUCCUAUAAGUUGUAUAUGAUUGGCCUUCAUAUAGUACUUAAGUUUCUUUUGCUUAUGCUUUUUAUUGAUACCCCUUACAUUCCAAAUAACCCAACUCAUAUUAUGUUAGGAAAAACAUCCUGGAUCAGGGGAUUGUUGGAUAUUCACAACGCGUCUGAAGUUCUUUCUAUCUUCUUUCUGAAGGGCACAGUACCCAACACAGGGAAUUCCUCAUAGUUUAGUUCUUAUAUCUUCUCUUUACCUUUUUUUUACUGAGCCUCGGCUAUCUCAUCAAGUGUCUUAGGAAAGUCCUUCAUUACUGUCCUUGACUUGGUAGUUUCAGCUAGGCUAGUUGGGAUUUCUAUAAGAGGUUUGCUACAAUUUACUACUGCAAUACUCUCUUUCACAUAGAACUUUUCAGCUGGUGCCAGUGGUUGGAUAUCCACAUCCACCUCUAGGAGUUCAGCUAUAGUGAUCCCCUUUUGUUGCCAGAUUAGUUCAACCUUCUUACUACCUUGCUUCCCCCAUCUUGGUUUGGCUGGUCACUUUGGGGUGGUCUAACCUGAGAUAUAUGUCCCACUACCGAACAUUUAGGAUAGAAUUCAGGCCUCCAGUCAUAGACCACAAUCUGAGUAAACUAAUUUCCACCUGUUUCCUGCACUAUGAUUUGAUCAGAUUGAAACAAGACGGUUGUGAAGGUGAAGUAACUUUACAAGAACAAAGCAGCUCUCAUUUCAGUGAUGCAAAAGUAUUUCAUCUAGCAUAGAUUUAAUUUCACAAUUGAGAGAUCUGAGUAUCCGACAAAUAGAUGUAUUUUUUUGAAGGUUACUAUUUUGUGAGUGUUGAUACAUUUUAAUUUAAGUAAUUAGUUACGUGAUUGAAGAAAAUAGACAAUGCUCAAUUGAUGUGAAAUUGAAAUAACU